AUUGAACGCUGGCGGCAGGCUUAACACAUGCAAGUCGAGCGAGCGGCGGACGGGUGAGUAAUGUCUGGGAAACUGCCUGAUGGAGGGGGAUAACUACUGGAAACGGUAGCUAAUACCGCAUACCAUCAGAUGUGCCCAGAUGGGAUUAGCUAGUAGGUGGGGUAAUGGCUCACCUAGGCGACGAUCCCUAGCUGGUCUGCGAGGAUGACAGGCCAAAUGGGACAUGAGCACGGGCCAAGACCCCUAGGGGAGGAAGAAGUGGGAAAGUUUGCAAAAUGGGCGCAGGCCGGAUGCAGCCAUGCCGGGUGUGGAAAGAAGGCCUUCGGGUUGUAAAGCACUUUCAGCGAGGAGGCGUUACUCGCAGAAGAAGCACCGGCUAACUCCGUGCAAGCAGCCGCGGUAAUC
rnacentral:rRNA from 1 species